rnacentral:rRNA from 1 species
GACGAACGCUGGCGGCGUGCUUAACACAUGCAAGUCGAACGGAAAGGCCCUGCUUUUGUGGGGUGCUCGAGUGGCGAACGGGUGAGUAACACGUGAGUAACCUGCCCUUGACUUUGGGAUAACUUCAGGAAACUGGGGCUAAUACCGGAUAGGAGCUCCUGCUGCAUGGUGGGGGUUGGAAAGUUUCGGCGGUUGGGGAUGGACUCGCGGCUUAUCAGCUUGUUGGUGGGGUAGUGGCUUACCAAGGCUUUGACGGGUAGCCGGCCUGAGAGGGUGACCGGCCACAUUGGGACUGAGAUACGGCCCAGACUCCUACGGGAGGCAGCAGUGGGGAAUAUUGCACAAUGGGCGCAAGCCUGAUGCAGCAACGCCGCGUGCGGGAUGACGGCCUUCGGGUUGUAAACCGCUUUCGCCUGUGACGAAGCGUGAGUGACGGUAAUGGGUAAAGAAGCACCGGCUAACUACGUG